rnacentral:rRNA from 1 species
CCUACGGGAGGCAGCAGUAGGGAAUCUUCCACAAUGGACGAAAGACUGAUGGAGCAACGCCGCGUGAGUGAAGAAGGGUUUCGGCUCGUAAAGCUCUGUUGGUAGUGAAGAAAGAUAGAGGUAGUAACUGGCCUUUAUUUGACGGUAAUUACUUAGAAAGUCACGGCUAACUACGUGCCAGCAGCCGCGGUAAUACGGAGGUGGCAAGCGUUGUCCGGAUUGAUUGGGCGUAAAGCGCGUGCAGGCGGUGCAAUAAGUCUGAUGUGAAAGCCUUGGGCUCAACCGGAGAAUGGCAUCAGAAACUGUUGAACUUGAGUGCAGAAGAGGAGAGUAGAACUCCAGGUGUAGCGGUGGAAUGCGUAGAUAUAUGGAAGAACACCAGUGGCGAAGGCGGCAAUCUGGUCUGCAACUGACGCUGAGGCUCGAAAGCAUGGGUAGCGAACAGGAUUAGAUACCCGUGUAGUC